UUUUCUUUUAUUAUUAUCCAAACUGCAGGAGGAGCCCUAUAUCAAUCGCAGCAGCAGUUAUUUACAUUAUAACCCAGCUUUCGGAUGAUAAAAAGCCUCUCAAAGAUAUCUCCGUUGCCACUGGGGUGGCAGAAGGAACAAUCAGAAACUCCUACAAGGAUCUUUAUCCUCAUGUAUCCAAGAUUAUUCCAAACUGGUAUGCAAAAGAAGAGGAUCUCAAGAACCUCUGCAGCCCUUGAAUUGUAGACCAAAACCAAAAAAAAAAAAGAAAAAAAAAAGGAAAAAAAAAAAAAGAGCCGGAACAUACAGAGGAUUCAGAAUAGUUUUUCGAGGCUUUUCUGUUGAAUUAUAUUAAAACUGUUCAACACAACGGUGCCAAAAUGUCUAUUGCAUCUUCAUAGUUCCCUUUAUUGUGUUCAUUUCAAUAGUAAUUUAACAGCAGUUUCAUUUCAAUAUGUGCUUGAACUAGCAAAUAAUAAUUCAAUACAUUUAUUUUUAGCUGA